rnacentral:rRNA from 1 species
UACGGAGGAUCCAAGCGUUAUCCGGAAUUACUGGGCGUAAAGAGUUGCGUAGGUGGCAUGGUAAGUUGACAGUGAAAGCGUGCGGCUCAACCGCAUAAACAUUGCCAAAACUGCCAAGCUAGAGAGUGAGAGAGGUAGCUGGAAUUCCUAGUGUAGGGGUAAUAUCCAUUGAUAUUAGGAGGAACACCGAUGGCGUAAGCAGGCUACUGGCUCAUUUCUGACACUCAGGCACGAAAGCGUGGGGAGCAAACGGG